rnacentral:rRNA from 1 species
CAGUCGCCGCGGUAAUACGAAGGGGGCUAGCGUUGCUCGGAAUGACUGGGCGUAAAGGGCGCGUAGGCGGUUUGCACAGUCGGGUGUGAAAUUCCUGGGCUUAACCUGGGGGCUGCAUUCGAGACGUGUAGGCUUGAGUGGGGAAGAGGGUCGUGGAAUUCCCAGUGUAGAGGUGAAAUUCGUAGAGAUGUGGAGGAACACCGAUGGCGAAGGCAGCCCCCUGGGCCAAUACUGACGCUCAUGCACGAAAGCGUGGGGAGCAAACAGGAUUAGAUACCCCGGUAGUCCCUGUCUCUUAUAC